CAGUGAUCUACCUGAGAGGGAGGAAGGAGAGGGAGAGGAGACCCCUGCCUUCAGUCACUGGGGACCCCCACGCAGAGUGGAGGUGUGGCAGGAGGAUGGCGAGUCUCUUGGCAUCAGCAUCGUGGGCGGGCACAGCGUCAUCAAGAGACUGAAGAAUGGAGAGGAACUCAAGGGCAUCUUUAUCAAACAGGUACUGCCGGAGAGCCCAGCGGGACGCACUCGCUCCCUCAAGACUGGAGACAAGAUAGUGCAGGUAUCAGGUGUGGACCUCCAGAAUGCCAGUCAUGAGGAGGCAGUCCAGGUCAUCAAGACAGCUCCCAGUCCCGUGGUCUUCACCGUUCAGAGCCUCUCUGCCACGCCAAGGCCUGUCUCACUAACGGGGCCCAGUUACAGAAAACACAAGGCAAAGAGCAGAGUCAUGCCGGUAAGCAGCCACACACUUUCUGAGGACAUUUGAUGGUGGUGAAAAUGUCAC